UCCCUCAGGACAAUGAUUAGAGUUAAACACAGUGGCAUCCACUUCACCCUACAUCCUAGAAAUCAGGCCUGCAUGCAAUAUCUUCAGGGAAACCCACACUUCCCCCAGUGUUUUCAAGGCACUGAGCCAAGACCAGCCAUAAACCUGUCUGGGGAAACAUCUCCGUGAAAUAUUCCCGAGCUCACAAAGCAGAUGUCUACAGAGGCAACACGGCUCACCUGAUUCACUCCUUGAGGCAGCCAUAAAACAUGUGACCUGCAAGAAGGGUGGGCUUCGGUGGGCUUCGUGUAGCCAGUUGGUGACAGAGCCAGGAUUGGAACCUAGGUCUAUUGAACCAUAAGUUCAUAUUCUUUUUUUUUUUUAAGAUUUUAUUUAUUUAUUCAUGAGAGACACACAGAGAGAGGCAGAGACACAGGCAGAGGGAGAAGCAGGCUCCGUGCAGGAGCCCCAUGCAGGACUCGAUCCUGGGACUCCAGGAUCAUGUCCCGGGCCAAAGGCAUUAGUUAACUGCUGAGCCACGCAGGGAUCCCCUCAUAUUCUUUUCACAGCUCUGGAAUAUAGACACUCAAGGGAUAGCCAUUUUCAUUCUAACUUAGCCGUCAGGUUCGUGACCUUGGUUAUGUUUCUUCUCUGCCUUGGGCUUCGUUUCUUCCUCUGUAAGAUAGGGUUUUGGAAAGGCUGACCUUUAGCAACCUAGGGCAGAAACCAUACCCCUGCCCGGGACACAGAGGGCUGCCUGGCACUCAGUAGGUGCAAUAUGCAUACCUAUGGAAAGAAUGCAUCAGUGUUUCAUGAUUCUAGGAAUGUCCAUUCUCAUAUUAGCUCCUUGUCUUUAAAUCUGCUCUUGAUCCAUUUAUGGGUGAUCUUCCACAUUCUGCCUAUUUUAUAUAAGGUGAGCUUUUAAAAGAAAGAAACUGUUUCUAGUUCCUUCUGUUAGAAUUAUGCCUAUUACAACACUCUUGUGACAAAAGAGGCUUGGCUUGUUCUAUGAACAGUGAUAAUGACAGUGAUGGUGGUAUAUAUGGAAACUUCAGAUGUUAUUAUGGUCCUUACACUUGAAGGAUGGCCCUUUUGUUCUUUUCUACCUUGUCCUUCAUGCUUUGGGUCAUUGGUUGGUAUCAUAUUAAUGUGUACAUGCUAUCGUUAAGUGCAUGAGAAGGUAUGUAUC
rnacentral:lncRNA from 12 species